rnacentral:rRNA from 1 species
AUUGAACGCUGGCGGCAGGCUUAACACAUGCAAGUCGAACGAGUGGCGGACGGGUGAGUAAUGCUUGGGAAUCUAGCUUAUGGAGGGGGAUAACUACGGGAAACUGUAGCUAAUACCGCGUACCCUAGGAUGAGCCCAAGUGGGAUUAGGUAGUUGGUGAGGUAAAGGCUCACCAAGGCGACGAUCUCUAGCUGGUCUGAGAGGAUGACCAGACACACUUGAACUGAGACACGUCCAAGACUCCUACGGGAGGCAGCAGUGGGGAAUAUUGCUCAAUCGGGGCAACCUGACGCAGCCAUGCCGCGUGAAUGAAGAAGUCCUUCGGGUUGUAAAGUUCUUUCGGUAGCGAGGCGUUAACUACAGAAGAAGCACCGGCUAACUCCGUGCCAGCCGCCGCGGUAAUUC